UGGCUCAGAGCGAACGUUUGGGGCGGGCCUAACACAUGCAAGUCGAACGCACUAGCAAUAGUGAGUGGCGCACGGGUGCGUAACACGUGGGUAAUCAACCCUUCAGCCUGGGAUAACGAUUUGAAAGGAUCGCUAAUACCGGAUACGGCGCGAGAGGCUUCGGCUUCUCACGAGAAAGCCUCGCAAGGGGUACUGAAGGACGAGCCUGCGGCCCAUCAGCUAGUUGGUGAGGUAAGAGCUCACCAAGGCGAAGACGGGUAGCUGGUCUGAGAGGAUGAUCAGCCACACUGGAACUGAGACACGGUCCAGACUCCUACGGGAGGCAGCAGUGGGGAAUAUUGCGCAAUGGGCGAAAGCCUGACGCAGCCACGCCGCGUGAGCGAUGAAGGCCUUCGGGUCGUAAAGCUCUGUGGGGAGAGACAGAAUAAAGCCUGUGAAGAGCAGCCUUGACGGAUUCCU
rnacentral:rRNA from 1 species